rnacentral:tmRNA from 1 species
GGGGCUGAUUCUGGAUUCGACGGGAUUUGCGAAACCCAAGGUGCAUGCCGAGGGGCGGUUGGCCUCGUAAAAAGCCGCAAAAAAAUAGUCGCAAACGACGAAACCUACGCUUUAGCAGCUUAAUAACCUGCUUAGAGCCCUCUCUCCCUAGCAUCCGCUCUUAGGACGGGGAUCAAGAGAGGUCAAACCCAAAAGAGAUCGCGCGGAUGCCCUGCCUGGGGUUGAAGCGUUAAAACGAAUCAGGCUAGUCUGGUAGUGGCGUGUCCGUCCGCAGGUGCCAGGCGAAUGUAAAGACUGACUAAGCAUGUAGUACCGAGGAUGUAGGAAUUUCGGACGCGGGUUCAACUCCCGCCAGCUCCACCA